GAUGAACGCUAGCGGCAGGCCUAACACAUGCAAGUCGAGGGGGAGGUUACUUUCGGGUAACUGAGACCGGCGUACGGGUGCGUAACGCGUAUACAAUCUGCCUUUCACUGGGGGAUAGCCCGAAGAAAUUUGGAUUAAUACCCCAUAGUAUAGUAAUACGGCAUCGUGAUGCUAUUAAAGCUUAGGUGGUGAAAGAUGAGUAUGCGUUCUAUUAGCUAGUUGGAGAGGUAACGGCUCCCCAAGGCGAUGAUAGAUAGGGGUUCUGAGAGGGAUGUCCCCCACACUGGUACUGAGAUACGGACCAGACUCCUACGGGAGGCAGCAGUGAGGAAUAUUGGACAAUGGUCGGAAGACUGGUCCAGCCAUGCCGCGUGCAGGAUGAAGGUCUUAUGGAUUGUAAACUGCUUUUGUAAGGGAAGAAUAAGGGCUACGCGUAGUUUGAUGACGGUACCUUACGAAUAAGCAUCGGCUAACUCCGUG
rnacentral:rRNA from 1 species